rnacentral:RNase_P_RNA from 1 species
GGACAGGUGAUCGCGGCUGCAAGUGUCGAAAGACCGCAGGUGAGGAAAGUCCGGGCUUCAUAGGGCAGGAUGCCGGUUAACGGCCGGUGGAGGAAACUCUAAGGAAAGUGCAACAGAAAUAUACCGCUACAAGGAGCACAUGCCAUGCAAUUCCCCUUUGGGGAAGGCAUGUGCGUAGGAGAUAUAUCCUUCGGAUAUACCUCAGUAGUAAGGGUGGAAUGGCAGUGUAAGAGACUACCGCCUCGCUGGUAACAGAGAGGGCAUAUGUAAACCCCAUUCGAAGCAAGACCGAAACAAAGCGAUGACGUUGCCCGCCAGCUUUAGGUAGGUCGCUCGAGGCGAUUGGUGACAGUCGUCCUAGAUAGAUGAUCACCCAACGACAUAACCCGGCUUAUCGUUCUGC